AUAGCCGGGAUAGCUCAGUUGGUANAGCAGAGGACUGAAAAUC
rnacentral:tRNA from 1 species